rnacentral:rRNA from 1 species
UGGGGAAUAUUGGACAAUGGGCGGAAGCCUGAUCCAGCAACGCCGCGUGAGGGAUGACGGCCUUCGGGUUGUAAACCUCUUUCAGCAGGGACGAAGCGCAAGUGACGGUACCUGCAGAAGAAGCACCGGCCAACUACGUGCCAGCAGCCGCGGUAAUACGUAGGGUGCGAGCGUUGUCCGGAAUUAUUGGGCGUAAAGGGCUCGUAGGCGGUUUGUCGCGUCGGGAGUGAAAACCAGGUGCUUAACACCUGGCUUGCUUUCGAUACGGGCAGACUAGAGGUAUUCAGGGGAGAACGGAAUUCCUGGUGUAGCGGUGAAAUGCGCAGAUAUCAGGAGGAACACCGGUGGCGAAGGCGGUUCUCUGGGAAUGACCUGACGCUGAGGA